UUCCUAGCUCACUCAGUAGAGAAUGAGACUCUUCAUUUCAGGGUUGUGGGUUCGAGCCCCACAUUGGGCAAAA